AGAAACUAGUUUCUUAAUUACUGACUAUCUUCGUAAACGCGACUAUUGUUUAUUAUUCACGAUCUUCUAAAAUGUCAGUAUUAUAAAAUUAAACUUGCUUCGUAAAUGACACUGAUGUGUCAGAUCGGAAAUAAACGUGAUUUGCAAGAAAUAAUUUAUUGUAAAGAUUUUAAAAAGGAAUUGACAAUUUAAAUAAUAAACUUUGAAUGUCGUUUCUUUGUUUUCAGGUGAGGUUAAUAGUUUUAAGUUGAACAGUGAAAUUACAUUGUAUAUUAGUGCUAAUUAACAAAAUAAAUAAAAUCUUUGUUUUCAGAGCAACACAAUCUUUUAAAUUGUACAAUUCCCUAUAAACGUCUUAUAAAACGACAUUUAUAGUUAGAAAUAAGAUAAAUAUGGAGAAACUACGAUUUAAAUUUGAAGUUCAAGGGUCGGCAGAUGGAAAAACCAAUGUGAUCUGCAUAACCUCUAUCGAGACACCAGACGGCCGUGUUUACGAGAUUCCAGACGAGUUAAAACCAGCAAGUGAGGUUAAUAGUUUUAAGUUGAACAGUGAAAUUACAUUGUAUAUUAGUGCUAAUUAACAAAAUAAAUAAAAUCUUUGUUUUCAGAGCAACACAA